UACAGAGGUCUCAAGCGUUGUUCGGAUUCAUUGGGCGUAAAGGGUGCGUAGGUGGCGUGGUAAGUCGGGUGUGAAAUUUCGGAGCUUAACUCCGAAACUGCAUUCGAUACUGCUGUGCUUGAGGACUGGAGAGGGAAGUGGAAUUUCCGGUGUAGCGGUGAAAUGCGUAGAUAUCGGAAGGAACAUCAGUGGCGAAAGCGACUUCCUGGACCAAUACUGACGCUCAUGUGCGAAAGCGUGGGGAGCAAACAGG
rnacentral:rRNA from 1 species